AGCUCCAAUAGCGUAUAUUAAAGUUGUUGCGGUUAAAAAGCUCGUAGUUGGAUUUUGGGGCCUCUGCAGUCGGUCCGGUGUAAACCGCGCACUGACAGCUGGGUCCUUCUGUCUGGAGACGGCGCGCUCCCUCUUCAUUGAGGGGCGCGACGGAUCUAGGACUCUUACUUUGAACAAAUUAGAGUGUUUAAAGCAGGCUUUCGCCUUGAAUACAUUAGCAUGGAAUAAACAUAUAGGACUUUGGUUCUAUUUUGUUGGUUUUAAGGACCGAAGUAAUGAUUAAUAGGGACAGUUGGGGGCAUUAGUAUUUAAUUGUCAGAGGUGAAAUUCUUAGAUUUAUGAAAGACUAACUUCUGCGAAAGCAUUUGCCAAGGAUGUUUUCAUUAAUCAAGAACGAAAG
rnacentral:rRNA from 1 species